rnacentral:rRNA from 1 species
UUGCGGUUAAAAAGCUCGUAGUUGGAUUUCUGUUGAGGAUGACCGGUCCGCUCUUUGAGCGCGUAUCUGGUUCAGCCUUGGCAUCCUCUUGGGGAACGCUACUGUGCUUGAUUGCAUGGGGCGGUAUUCAAGACUUUUACUUUGAGGAAAUUGGAGUGUUCACUGCAAGCGUUAGCAAUUGAAUACAUUAGCAUGGAAUAAUAAUAUAGGACCUUGGUACUAUUUUGUUGGUUUCUAGAACUAAGGUAAUGAUUAAUAGGGACAAUUGGGGGCAUUCGUAUUAACGCGUCAGAGGUGGAAUUCUUAGAUUGCGUUACGACGAACUACUGCGAAAGCAUUUGCCAAGGAUGUUUUCAUUGAUCAAGAACGAAAGUUAGGGGAUCGAAGACGAUCAGAUACCGUCCUAGUCUUAACCAUAAACCAUGCCGACUAGAGAUUGGAGGUCGUUAUCUAUACGACUCCUUCAGCACCUUAUGAGAAAUCAAAGUCUUUGGGUUCCGGGGGGAGUAUGG